rnacentral:rRNA from 1 species
AACGAACGCUGGCGGCGUGCCUAACACAUGCAAGCGUGCGAGAACGCUUCCUUCGGGGAGUUAGUAGAGCGGCGCACGGGUGAGUAACACGUAGGUAAUCUACCUCGUAGCCUGGGAUAACUGGCCGAAAGGUCAGCUAAUACCGGAUAAGACCACGACCUCCUCGGAGGUUGCGGCCAAAGGCGGCCUCUUCUUGAAAGCUGUCACUAUGGGAUGAGCCUGCGGCCCAUUAGUUUGUUGGUGGGGUAACGGCCUACCAAGGCGAUGAUGGGUAGCUGGUCUGAGAGGAUGAUCAGCCACACUGGAACUGAGACACGGUCCAGACUCCUACGGGAGGCAGCAGUGGGGAAUAUUGCGCAAUGGGGGAAACCCUGACGCAGCGACGCCGCGUGGGUGAUGAAGGCCUUCGGGUCGUAAAGCCCUGUCGUGAGGGAAGAAAUCGUUGUCGGCUAAUACCCGGCAGCGUUGACGGUACCUCACAAGAAAGCACCGGCUAACUCCGUG